UACGGAGGAUGCAAGCGUUAUCCGGAAUGAUUGGGCGUAAAGCGUCCGCAGGUGGCAAUGUAAGUCUGCUGUCAAAGCGUCUGGCUCAACCAGAUAAAGGCAGUGGAAACUACAUAGCUAGAGUAAGGUAGGGGUAGAGGGAAUUCCUGGUGUAGCGGUGAAAUGCGUAGAGAUCGGGAAGAACAUCGGUGGCGAAAGCGCUCUACUGGGCCAUAACUGACACUCAGGGACGAAAGCUAGGGGAGCGAAUGGG
rnacentral:rRNA from 1 species